GACGAACGCUGGCGGCGUGCUUAACACAUGCAAGUCGAGCGGUAAGGCCCUUUCGGGGGUACACGAGCGGCGAACGGGUGAGUAACACGUGGGUGACCUGCCCUCAGCUCUGGGAUAAGCCUGGGAAACCGGGUCUAAUACUGGAUAUGACUCCAUGACGCAUGUUGUGGGGUGGAAAGCCUUGUGCGGCUGAGGAUGGGCCCGCGGCCUACCAGCUUGUUGGUGGGGUGANGGCCUACCAAGGCGACGACGGGUAGCCGGCCUGAGAGGGCGACCGGCCACACUGGGACUGAGACACGGCCCAGACUCCUACGGGAGGCAGCAGUGGGGAAUCUUGCGCAAUGGGCGAAAGCCUGACGCAGCGACGCCGCGUGAGGGAUGACGGCCUCGG
rnacentral:rRNA from 1 species